GAUGUUACUCUGAGUGCAUAUCCACACCGGGCGAGCUUGAAAAUAUGCCCGGCCACGGUGGGAUUCGAACCUACGACCUUUGGAAUACUAGCCCAAUGCUCUUCCAACUGAGCUACGCGGUCAGGACGGUUCGAGUAAGUGAUAUUUCGGAACAGUAUCUAGUUCCUUCAAUACCAAUGUGUUCUUGUAAUAUGAAUUUUUUUUUUUCUGUGUUGGUGUUGUGUACUCAGGUGAAUAAUAUGUUUGCGAUGUUACUCUGAGUGCAUAUCCACACCGGGCGAGCUUGAAAAAUAUGCCCGGCCACGGUGGGAUUCGAACCUACGACCUUUGGAAUACUAGCC
rnacentral:tRNA from 1 species